rnacentral:rRNA from 1 species
AUCUACAGCCACGCUACCCUGAACAAGCCUGAUCUCGUCUGAUCUCGGAAGCUAAGCAGGGUCGGGCCUGGUUAGUACUUGGACGGGAGGCCACCUAGGAAGACCAGGUGCUGUAGGCA